AGUGAACGCUGGCGGUAGGCCUAACACAUGCAAGUCGAACGGCAGCACAGUAAGGGCUUGCUCUUACGGGUGGCGAGUGGCGGACGGGUGAGGAAUACAUCGGAAUCUACUUUUUCGUGGGGGAUAACGUAGGGAAACUUACGCUAAUACCGCAUACGACCUACGGGUGAAAGCAGGGGAUCUUCGGACCUUGCGCGAUUGAAUGAGCCGAUGUCGGAUUAGCUAGUUGGCGGGGUAAAGGCCCACCAAGGCGACGAUCCGUAGCUGGUCUGAGAGGAUGAUCAGCCACAAUGGAACUGAGACACGGUCCAGACUCCUACGGGAGGCAGCAGUGGGGAAUAUUGGACAAUGGGCGCAAGCCUGAUCCAGCCAUACCGCGUGGGUGAAGAAGGCCUUCGGGUUGUAAAGCCCUUUUGUUGGGAAAGAAAAGCAGCAGGUUAAUACCCCGCUGUUCUGACGGUACCCAAAGAAUAAGCACCGGCUAACUUCGUG
rnacentral:rRNA from 1 species